rnacentral:rRNA from 1 species
GAACGAUGAUCCCURGCUUGCUGGGGGGAUUAGUGGCGAACGGGUGAGUAACACGUGAGUAACCUGCCCUUGACUCUGGGAUAAGCCUGGGAAACUGGGUCUAAUACCGGAUACGACCAUCUGGCGCAUGUCAUGGUGGUGGAAAGCUUUUGUGGUUUUGGAUGGACUCGCGGCCUAUCAGCUUGUUGGUGGGGUAAUGGCCUACCAAGGCGACGACGGGUAGCCGGCCUGAGAGGGUGACCGGCCACACUGGGACUGAGACACGGCCCAGACUCCUACGGGAGGCAGCAGUGGGGAAUAUUGCACAAUGGGCGCAAGCCUGAUGCAGCGACGCCGCGUGAGGGAUGACGGCCUUCGGGUUGUAAACCUCUUUCAGUAGGGAAGAAGCGAAAGUGACGGUACCUGCAGAAGAAGCGCCGGCUAACUACGUGCCAGCAGCCGCGGUAAUACGUAGGGCGCAAGCGUUAUCCGGAAUUAUUGGGCGUAAAGAGCUCGUAGGCGGUUUGUCGCGUCUGCUGUGAAAGACCGGGGCUCAACUCCGGUUCUGCAGUGGGUACGGGCAGACUAGAGUGCAGUAGGGGAGACUGGAAUUCCUGGUGUAGCGGUGAAAUGCGCAGAUAUCAGGAGGAACACCGAUGGCGAAGGCAGGUCUCUGGGCUGUAACUGACGCUGAGGAGCGAAAGCAUGGGGAGCGAACAGGAUUAGAUACCCCUGGUAGUCCAUGCCGUAAACGUUGGGCACUAGGUGUGGGGGACAUUCCACGUUUUCCGCGCCGUAGCUAACGCAUUAAGUGCCCCGCCUGGGGAGUACGGCCGCAAGGCUAAAACUCAAAGGAAUUGACGGGGGCCCGCACAAGCGGCGGAGCAUGCGGAUUAAUUCGAUGCAACGCGAAGAACCUUACCAAGGCUUGACAUGAACCGGWAAKACCUGGAAACAGGUGCCCCGCUUGCGGUCGGUUUACAGGUGGUGCAUGGUUGUCGUCAGCUCGUGUCGUGAGAUGUUGGGUUAAGUCCCGCAACGAGCGCAACCCUCGUUCUAUGUUGCCAGCGCGUUMKGSCGGGGACUCAUAGGAGACUGCCGGGGUCAACUCGGAGGAAGGUGGGGACGACGUCAAAUCAUCAUGCCCCUUAUGUCUUGGGCUUCACGCAUGCUACAAUGGCCGGUACAAAGGGUUGCGAUACUGUGAGGUGGAGCUAAUCCCAAAAAGCCGGUCUCAGUUCGGAUUGGGGUCUGCAACUCGACCCCAUGAAGUCGGAGUCGCUAGUAAUCGCAGAUCAGCAACGCUGCGGUGAAUACGUUCCCGG